rnacentral:rRNA from 1 species
AGAGUUUGAUCCUGGCUCAGAUUGAACGCUGGCGGCAGGCCUAACACAUGCAAGUCGAGCGGCAGCGGGAAGUAGCUUGCUACUUUUGCCGGCGAGCGGCGGACGGGUGAGUAAUGCCUGGGAAAUUGCCCAGUCGAGGGGGAUAACAGUUGGAAACGACUGCUAAUACCGCAUACGCCCUACGGGGGAAAGCAGGGGACCUUCGGGCCUUGCGCGAUUGGAUAUGCCCAGGUGGGAUUAGCUAGUUGGUGAGGUAAUGGCUCACCAAGGCGACGAUCCCUAGCUGGUCUGAGAGGAUGAUCAGCCACACUGGAACUGAGACACGGUCCAGACUCCUACGGGAGGCAGCAGUGGGGAUAUUGCACAAUGGGGGAAACCCUGAUGCAGCCAUGCCGCGUGUGUGAAGAAGGCCUUCGGGUUGUAAAGCAUUUCAGCGAGGAGGAAAGGUCAGUAGCUA